CCCUGCCCAGGACUCUCACUGCUCUCUGUGCACCCCCAUCCAAGCUCAUCUAUCCCAGAGGCAUCUUCCCCAGGGACUCCAUUGCUUCCCCCAUCCUCCCAGUACAUGCCAGUGCAGCCAGACUUGUCCCUAACCUCCCUUUCUCCCCAGCUGCCUGUGCUUGAUGAUCUGGUAGAGCUGCUAGAGGCUGCCAAAGCCAUUCAAGCUGCUGCUGUCUAGGACUGGAACUGCUGGUGACAUCCUUGUCCUGUGCCUCUCCAGCAGCAUGAGGAUCAUCCCUGGAUGACCACACCUGAUCCCCUGGGAGCCCUGGCCCAUGUCUCUGCCAUGAUAAUAAACUCCCUCAGCAAA